rnacentral:rRNA from 1 species
UGUAACCUUAGUUGCUUCGGCGGGCCCGCCUUUAAGGCCGCCGGGGGGCAUCAGCCCCCGGGCCCGCGCCCGCCGGAGACACCACGAACUCUGUCUGAUCUAGUGAAGUCUGAGUUGAUUGUAUCGCAAUCAGUUAAAACUUUCAACAAUGGAUCUCUUGGUUCCGGCAUCGAUGAAGAACGCAGCGAAAUGCGAUAACUAGUGUGAAUUGCAGAAUUCCGUGAAUCAUCGAGUCUUUGAACGCACAUUGCGCCCCCUGGUAUUCCGGGGGGCAUGCCUGUCCGAGCGUCAUUGCUGCCCAUCAAGCACGGCUUGUGUGUUGGGUCGUCGUCCCCUCUUCGGGGGGGACGGGCCCCAAAGGCAGCGGCGGCACCGCGUCCGAUCCUCGAGCGUAUGGGGCUUUGUCACCCGCUCUGUAGGCCCGGCCGGCGCUUGCCGAACGCAAAACAACCAUUCUUUCCAGGUUGACCUCGGAUCAGGUAGGGAUACCCGCUGAACUUAAGCAU